rnacentral:rRNA from 1 species
UACGUAGGGGGCAAGCGUUGUCCGGAUUUAUUGGGCGUAAAGCGCGUGUAGGCGGCCAGAUAGGUCUGCUGUGAAAACUCGAGGCUCAACCUCGAGCUGUCGGCGGAAACCAUCUGGCUAGAGUCCGGAAGAGGAGAGUGGAAUUCCCGGUGUAGCGGUGAAAUGCACAGAUAUCGGGAAGAACACCCGUGGCUAAGGCGGCUCUCUAGUACGGUACUGACGCUGAGACGCGAAAGCGUGGGGAGCGAACAGG